rnacentral:lncRNA from 1 species
UUUUUUUUUUUGUUUUGCUGAGGAAGAUUUGCCCUGAAAUAACAUCUAUUGCCAAUCUUGCUCUUUUUUUGCUUGAGGAAGAUUAGCCCUGAGCUGACAUCUGUACCAAUCUUCCUUCACUUUAUAUAUGGGUUGCCACCACAGCAUGGCUGAUGAGUGGUACAGGUCCACACUGAGGAUCCAAACCUAUGAACCCCAGGCCACUGACGCAGAGCUCACCAACCUUAACUACUACACCACAAGGCUGGCCCCUAUUUUAUCGCUUUUUUUCCUUUUAAUAAGACUGUAAGACAAAAAUCAAAUAUUAACUAAGCAGGUGACAUUUCAUUGUUUUCCUAGUUUGUUGUUUUUUCUUUCCGUUUGCUUGAUUCACUUUUCAUUGAGUGUUGACAUUGAAAUUUUUUACCCAAGGCCUGAUUGUAACUUUGCUACCACCUUCUGGCAAAAUCAUGAAUAUCUUAUGAUCUUUGCCUAGAAUGAGUUUCCACGAUAUUGUUAAUUCAUGUUGUACAUUAGUUCACCUGCCUCUACUGUCGUUAAAAGGAAAAGUAGGAAGUGUUGCUGCAGCUGGUCCAGGACAAUGGGUUGAGUUGGGGGAACAGGCUUGAGCCCAGGAGGGUAGGACACACCAAUGGCUGUCUGGCAUGACCCCUGGACAGGACAUUUUGGUGGCUCAGCAGAGUCUAAAAGACUGGGACCCCCACCAAUGGCUGCACUUGGUCACAAAAGAGCUGAGCCUGCUCUCCACACUCUACCCUCCACCUGGAACAAAUAUGGUGGGCGUACAGAAAAAUGAAGGGACAGCCAUAGCCAGCCAUCCAACUGUCAUUCGAAAGAAGCAAGACAAACAGAUCCUAAACAAGACGGGAAACGUCGAGGAGGAUUUACACUCACUGACUAAGAGGAAGAAGGUUUGGACUUAAUUGUCCAUGUUAAACAUAAACAAUAUGCAGAGAAACAGCACAACAGAACACUAAAGCAAUGAAAGUGAGCAAUCGAUAACCACACACCCAGCAAUGUGGAUGAAUCGCACAAACCAAACGUGGAGUGAAAGAAGUCCAGUGCAAAUGCAUGCUAUUUAUGUGUCAUUAAAACCACACAGGCAAAACUGAAGUCUGCUGGUGGAAGUCAGAGCACUGACUACCCUGCGGGGAGCAGACAGGGGCCAGGAUAUCUGUCUCUGGUGAAUAGCACACACUCCUCUCCCACUCCUGAUCAUUUCAGCCAAGGUUUUGUGGCCUUCUUAACAACAUUAAGAUAAAAAUAUAAAUUAUUUUAUAUUUUUAUGUAUAAAUUUUAUAUAUAGGAAAAAUUUUGAUGUAUAUGU